rnacentral:rRNA from 1 species
UACGUAGGGGGCAAGCGUUGUCCGGAAUCAUUGGGCGUAAAGAGCGUGUAGGCGGUCCGGUCAGUCGGUUGUGAAAGUCAAGGGCUCAACCCUUGAAUGCCGGCCGAUACUGCCGGGCUAGAGUCCGGAAGAGGUGAGUGGAAUUCCUGGUGUAGCGGUGAAAUGCGCAGAUAUCAGGAGGAACACCGAUGGCGAAGGCAGCUCACUGGGACGGUACUGACGCUGAGACGCGAAAGCGUGGGGAGCAAAACGG